AAAUAGAACUUUGCAGAGAGAGUUAACAGGGCGUGAAACCGUUAAUUGGCAAACGAAUCGGAGCCACGAAGUCGUUUCGUUGUUUAGUCUGGACCAGGUUCAGCGGCGCUCGAGAGGGCGCCGUGCACUCCUGGGUCUGGCCAAACCUUGUAAGCGUACACUGCAACCAGUUAGACGAUCAGCCGUGGGCACAGUGCCGCUCUAGUCAGUAGUAGCGCGGCUGAGUUUCGGCUCAGUUCCGUGUUGCUGGACUGGUGGCGAGUGAACUACGGCUGAAUACUGACUGGCGAAAUGAAAAUCGCCCCGUCCUCGGGUGCGUUAGAGACAAAGCAACCAGCCACAUGCGGGCCUACACGGCCGACUGUUGGGUCUAAGCUUGGCGUUUUUGAAUUCAGACUUGCUAGCUACCAGUGGGGCAACUCCUGGUGCUUGUACAGCUUCUGUCUAAUCGGGCGUCGACUUGGCCUAGCAUCGUUCGGUCGUGCUACGAUGGGGCCUGCAUGCGAGCUGGCUCGCAAUGUGAAUUGGCAGUGAGUAGGUCGGCUUUCCGAACGACCCGUCUUGAAACACGGACCAAGGAGUCUAAUUGGGCAUCGAGUCGAUCGGUCUUGAAUAGGCCAGACAGGGAGCCCUCCCUCGAUGGAAGGCGUAGAGAAAUCGUGUGAUCGCACGGCAAAUCAGCCUAGGCGCGCAACAUGUGCCUGUUCGUAUAGCAGUGUCGCAAGCUGCUGGGCGGAGCAGAGAGAUGCCUGAUUGGGACCCGAAAGAUGGUGAGCUUGGGCAAAUUGAAGCCAGAGGAAACUCUGGUGGAGGAUUGUAGCGAUUCUGACGUGCAAAUCGAUCGUCAGACCUGAGUAUAGGGGCGAAAGACUAAUCGAACCAUC
rnacentral:rRNA from 1 species